rnacentral:misc_RNA from 1 species
GAUGAAGAACGUAGUGAAAUGCGAUACGUAAUGUGAAUUGCAGAAUUCAGUGAAUCAUCGAAUCUUUGAACGCAUAUUGCGCUCUCUGGUAUUCCGGAGAGCAUGCUUGUUUGAGUAUCAGUAAACACCUCAACUUCCAUAUCUUUUUUGAAAUGGGAGUUGGACUUGAGUGAUCCCAACGCUUUUCCUCACCGAAAAGUGGCGGGUUACUUGAAAUGCAGGUGCAGCUGGAAUUUUCUCUGAGCUAUAAGCAUAUCUAUUUAGUCUGCCUAAAAACAGAUUAUUACCUUUGCUGCAGCUAACAUAAAGGAGAUUAGUUCUUGUGCUGACUGAUGCAGGAUUCACAAAGACAGGCUUCGGCCGACUUUGUAAACUCGAUCUCAAAUCAAGUAAGACUACCCGCUGAACUUAAGCAUAUCAAUAAGCGAGGA